CUGCGAUUUUAGUUUCUUCCUACACCGUAACCACCAUAUGUGACUUCUUGCUGCUUCCAACAGAACAUCAACACUUCUAAUUCUCUAUUUUUGAUUCAUUGUGUUUAACAAGCAUUCAUUGGACGCUGACAGUGCAGGAGGUUUUUGGAAAGACUUUGAAGGAGAAGGGAAUAUAAAUAGCAAUAGAACAUAUUAAGUACCUACCCCAAAAGAGGAAAUGGAGUUGUAAACAACUAUACAAUGGAGUCAACUGGAGAGAGACAAAGAGUCCUAAAAUUAGGACUAAGGACAAAAGGCAACAAGAUUCCAAGCAUCUAGGUUUCAAACUGGCUAAAAUCAGGAAAACUUGAGGAGGAGAAGUCAAAGUCAUCCAUGUUGGGAUAGCAAGAAGAUACAGUUGAGGAAGAGAAGUCAAAGCCAUCCACGCUGGGAUAGCAAGAAGAUACAGUUGAUGCUGAGUACAGAAGGGAGUGGAGGAGAGAAGACAAAUAGGAGACCAUCCCCUGGGAGCAGACUGAGCAGUCCCAGAUGGAGCAUCAGCUAUGAACUCAGAGAAGCCUCUGAGCAGGGUUUUCACAAGUCUUUGCAGUAGGCACUAUCGUUCUCCCCAUUGCACAGAUGAGAAGACUGAGGCACGGAGACAUCACUCAAAAAAGAAAGUGAGAGAGAGAGAGAGAAAACCAAGAGAGAGAUGGCAAAUUUAGAGGAAAUGUAGUGUCAGAAAACUGGAAAUCGGUGAAACGAUCUAGUGCUGAUGAAAAUCCUCCAUCCUAAAAAAAGUAAAAAAAAAAAAAAAAAAAAAAAGAAAGAAGGAAAAUCCUCCAUCCUUACUCCAAGGGAAUUGUCACCCUAGUUUAACUAUAGGCAGCAACACAUAGUAAGACAUGCAUUUUGAAUCUUCACUCAGUUACAGGCCUAAAUAGUUGAACCUGGCACCAAAUAGUAAAUGUAUCAGUGUUGUUCAACCUAUUUUUUUUAAUAGCUAAGACAGAGACUAAACAUGCUCAAGGAUUUAGCUCUAAAGAUCAGAGGUGACAAGGCGAGUAGCUGCCCAAGCAUCCCAUCUGCUAGGCAACUCCGGCUCUGCACAUUCUGGAAUUCCUCUCCAACAUUAUAAAGUCAUCGAAUGCCUAUCUGGGCACUACAUUGUCUGGAGGCCAAGUCUUGUAAAGACUGUUAACUUGCACUGGAAUCUUCCUAGACGUGCCAGUCAAAGCCCGUUCUGCUGCAUCCUCUACUGGGACCUAUCCUUUAUCCCACCGGCUCCGAGAGUAGGGUUUUUACUGGCCCAGUGAUCUAACUGCCUUUUCCUGACUGCACCAGUUCUUUGACCGUGGGUGCUUUAUUCUCAGUUUGCUCUGCCCAGGAGUACCUCCUCUUCCUUGGGGUCCCCUCUGCUCCCCAGACAUACAUCUGUCAUAGCCCCGAGGCCCACUGUGGCAUUUAUUACCUGUCUGUCUCACGUUACUAAGGACUUUGGAGGCCGCAGCCAUGCCUUCCUUACCUUUAUAUUCCCAGCAUCUGACACAGUUGAGGGCCUAUUAUAUAUUGGAUGAAUAAAUAAUUGAAGGCCAACCCCAAGGGAGGCGGAUCACCUCAUCCAUGCCUCAGCUAAAGCACGGUGGCUUUCUGCAGCCAUAACCUCAGGUGUACAGAAGCCAGACAAGGGAAAGAGUCCAGGAAGGGUGUGGGCCACACCGUGGAAAAGCACGAGACCUACCGGGAGCCAUGGGCCCAGCAUCCUUGGAAGUGGUCUGACUUAUUUCUGCAAAAGUCAAUGCUGAGAGGUUGUGAUCUGUUUCUAAGGUGCGACUUCUGCUCUCCUGAGAAAUUGAAAGGAACCUGAGCGGUGUCUUAGGAUGUUUCAAGGCCACACUACUUCUCAGGGCUAAGCACUUCCUUUUUUGAACGCCCAUGUGAACACUAGCAGUCGGAAGGCCGGGAGGGCAGAGCCUUGCAGCCAUGAGCGUGGCGUGGAAGCUCAGGUCAUCCAAGUAGAGAUGCCACACAGGGGGCCUGUGGCCACAGGGCUCUGCUGUGGUGACACAGUGGCCAGAGGACCCAAGGGCUCUGGCUGCAAGUGAAGAGAAGUCCAGAGACUGUUGGAAACAUGCUCAUUUUCUGUGUUCCCCCUAAAACCAGACUUGCUGCUGGUAUAUGAACUAUUUCCAGCCCGAUUUACACAAUUGCUGGACUCAGGAGUCCCAGAGUCCUGUUGCUUCUUACCUCGAAGUGCCCCUGCGUGGCAUUUUGCCCUGUUUUCCUUUCUGCCAUUUGUGAGGUCACCAUGAACUUCCUGUCCACGUUUCCUCACACCCCAAGUGUGCAGGGGGGGCUCCUCCACCUGUGUUGAGACCACCUACCAUUUCUCCUGAUUCACCUGGCUGUGCUACUUCUUCAUUUCUUGUACCUUAUGUUCUGAUCAUGUUUAUUUUCUUCCACUUUAUUGUUCACAUCAUUGGUUUCCUACCUGGAAGUGACCCGAAGAAGCCCCCUCUGCAGAAGAGAUGCGUUGUGUUUUCAGACCUUGAGAGGACUGCCGUGGCCCCGUGGGGGGCCUUUUGUGAACCGGAGAAAGACAUUCCUUCUGGGCAGAUGCAGCCCUGCACCAGGGUACAGGCUUAGUGAGCAGGGGGCAGAGUGAUCUCAGGACCCACUCCAGUGUGCACUCUGGUGCCAUGAACAACCUGCCCAACCGGAAGGCACAGUCCUGCUCAGAAGAGUCCGUAAUCUUGCUUAAAUAAAUGGUGACAGUGACCGUUUUUUCUCAUAAUGAAAAUAUUCUUCAAAGGCCAUUCGGCGGAUGAGUGGCCUUGAACACACAUUUAUUUCUUCAAGCUUUCAGAACGUACAGGUCCUUAAACAUUAACUCAAGGCUGCACGGUGGCUUUCUGCAGCCCUAACAUCAAGUGCAAGCACCAUGGACUUAGUUGCUAAGCCGUCUCUUCUCGGUGCUAUAUUGCCAUCACGCAUAUUGUCUUCAUCUCAGCAGACAAUUGAUGGGCGGAGAUGAUGAGCCAGACAUUUUAAUCCGUGUUCUCUUGUGUCUCUCCAGCUUGGCAUUUUCGCUUCAACUAGCCUUAUGACGAAGUGAGCGUCCUUGAAAUUUCCAACCAGAAAGCUCCUGAGGUGUUUGGCAAGCCCUUGGCAUAGCUUUGCCGCUGCUCCAGGCCUGGGAGCCACAGAAGAGAGCCCUUGGGUUGGCUCCUCCAGCCCCACCUGGCACUUGUCGUGGCCACUGGGCACCCUGCUCCCCGCCCACAUGCCCGCUUCAUGACCAUGUGCUCGGAAACCCGCUUGAAGUGCACAGACUAGUUCAGUACCAUUUGAGAGACUCUCCAGCUGACUCAGAACCAUCCAGAGGCUACUUGGACCACCUAGCCCUGGCCAAAGAGAUGGCUGUUCCUUCUCCAUACCUCCUCAUUACCUCCCGACCAACAGAACAUCAUCAAUUUAUGUUGUCUCCUCUGUGUGACUCUCUCCAAUCUAUCCCCAAAUCACCGUGGAAUAUCCACACGUUGUUCUAGAACUACUGUUUUCUCAUUGCAUAUAGAUUUGCUCUACUUAAACGAACUGGUAACUAUCUCGAAGACGUAGGCUAUACUUUUUCUUCUUUGCCUCUUUCCGUGGUUCCGCAAAUAGCUUCUAAACCACCACGGACAGUAAAUGGAUGCUGAUUUUAAGAAAACCUAUUCUUUUUGCUUUCAUUUCCCUUUGUAAUGAAAGUCGAUUAAAUAGACUGCAGAGAACAGGGUGUUUAGAGGCUGAAAUAAGAGAAGUAUGUAGCCUGGAAAAAACCUGAAGAUGUCCAGUAAGCAAAAGUGAAUCUAUAAAUACCGCAGAAUGAUGACCUGUUCAAGGGGGUAAUUCUUCUAGCUAUGAACUCACCGAAAUGUUAAAUGAUCUCAUUCAAAACUUCCCUUUGGGACAAGUUGCUGGAGUCCCCACCUUACCCAAAAGGCUCCAACACUCUCUUUAGAAUCUCCAGUAGAAGAAUUUGAAUUGGAUGAGGCCACAGGUCUACGUUCAUGUUGGGGCAUAAAAUUGGUAGCCUGUAUCCUAGUCUAGGCCCUGCUAUGAACUAGCUGUGACCUUGAUAUGUCAUUGAGGCCAUCAGAGCUCACAGACUCCCAGAGUCUCUACAGUAAUAAUGUUAAUAAAAAUAGCUAACCCCGAUGGAGUACUUGCAGCGUACCAGGUCCUGUGCUGAGCAUUUUUCAUGCAUUAUUUCACUUAGUCCUCACAACCGCUCCUGGAGAUAGGUACUAUCAUUAUCCCCAAUUGAGGAAACCGAAGCUCACAGAGAUUAAUUUGUUCAGAAUCAUGGGGAAAUGCAUUUUGGUGAAACCAUAUUCAGUCAACCCGAGCUCAAAUGCCCUUUUUCCUCACAUGUGCAGCAGAGUGCAUGAUUCUGCACUCCUCGAACACUUCACGUGCACUGAUAUUUCAGUGCUUCUUCCCUUUGGUGUGUGUGGAUUGUACCCCCAGCACCCUGAGAGUGCUUUGAACGCCUGGCUUGGCAAUUAGAGACAAUAAAUGCGCCAAUUUAGCGGUAUAAACUCUUUAGUCCUCACAACAUAUCUGUACGUGGAACUAUUCUUGCUUUUACAGAUAAAGGCUCUGAGAGGCUAAGUAAUGGCUCAACUUGGCAUAGAAAAUAAAAAAGCAGAGUCAGGUGUUGUAUCCAGGGGUUAGAAGGUCCCUAUUCUGUACUGGCAUCACCAUCCAUUCAGUUGUCCAAGCCAAUCCAGAUACCCCUGUUAAAUGAGCCAAACUAGGAGGCCAUUCGAUUGAAACAGCUCUGAUGCCAUGGCAGCCUAGGUAAGCAAACCAUAACCUAAGCCCAGAUUACAAAAUUGAAAUUAAGGAUAGUUGAUCACAAUGGGCCAGCUGGGCUUUAAGCCAGAGCCCAUCAGUGACAUGUUCCCUUGGCUUCUACCUUUUUACUAUAAGUUAAAUCUCUAUGGGAACUCCUGUUGGCAGAGUCCCCUUAACCACUUCUGAUUUGACACCACCCCAUGAGAACUGAGUUUUGCUCAAAUAAACUCUUAACAUUUUGGAUGCUUCAGUUUAUCUUUUAACACCAGGGAAAUGUCCUCUGCAAUUCUUCCUCGGCUGUGAUUCUUGGGCUCUUCUCUACUCCAUUCACCGUGUGGUUCAUCAUUUUGUCCCCCCCCCCCACUGUAAUUCAGAUUCCUGCCUCCACUUACCCAGAUUACCAUGACAGCUUGGAGGAGAAGACUGGCUGACCUCCAAAACAAAAAGAUAUAAAGAAUUGGGAAUGACUUUGAUAAACUCUAAGCAUUUCUUAUUGUCUCUCUUAGAGACAAAGACACUUCCACACCCUCGGUCCUGAAUCGCUUAAAUCAUGAUUUACUGGGAAGUUAGAGUUGUAUUUUCACCCACUGACAUAAAUUUUGGUAUGAGGAUCAGCACACUGCUCUAGUCCUAUAAAUCAUAGGAGGCAGCCGGAUAGUCUCCAGGAUUCUAAUCUCGUUUGCCCAUCGCAUUUCACCAGUUUAUGUCAUUGCCAUUUAGGACCUAAUUGUGAUAACUGCACUUGUUUUCUGGAGUUGUGGUUGCUUUUAACCCAUUUCAUUGCUUGAGUUCCUACAAGGCUGGAGCCUUGUAUUGCUCCACAGGUGGAAUUCCUGGUGUCCUGCCUGCCUACCAUUGAAUAAAUGCCACAAGGAGGUGCUUUGCCUGUGCUUUGCCACCCAGAAGGGGGACACUUGGUCACGCUGCCCUGAGACGUCCCUGCAGUGCUGACAGCUUGCCCUUUGCUGCCAUCAUCCCUCAGGACAACCAUGACCAGGCACAGUGGCAAGUGGCCAAGGGGAGCUCCCGACUGCCUUUUGCUGCACAGGUGACAGUGUGGCAUGCCCCCCCCCCUUUUUCCUUCCUCCUCUGGACCAAGUGAUAAAAGGACAGGACAGUAAGGAAAUCUUCCUUGCAUAAGCA